GGGAAUGACCCACCCCAUUGUGAGCCAGCCCAGUGGGACUGUCAAUCAAGGUACCCUGCCCUUCCCUAGCCAAGGGAUGAAUCCAUGGCCAAGAUAAAUCAUCAAACUCUAGAGUCUGGGCCAGCGAAUCUUCACCAGGCUGACGCAGAGUGGAAAACACACUGCAGUCCACCCAUCGAGAAAAAACCCUUGUGAAGUCUACUUGCUACCUAGACACAGGAGACUGCUCCAGUUCUCGCUUCCUCUCUCUCCCUCAUUUCCUCUCUUCUCUCUUCCUCCCUUUCCCUUCCUCCCUCCCUAUUUCUCUCUUUCUUUUUUAGUUCUCAGUUCCCCAUUUGUGAGUUACUCAACAUCAGUCCAUUUCAGCACAAGUUAGCCAGAGUUGGUUGCCUUUGCAAGAUAAAAUAUGAACACCUCUGUCUGUACAUGGACUGCGAGAAUUAGAACUUUGGGCUCAACACCGUCAUCUGACAGCUGGGGAAACUGCAGGAACCUUAAGGAGCUUCAUUAACGGAAUCAGAAUUCUGUAAAAGCACAGCGCCUGCUGUAAGAGAGGCAUGAACCGUUUGACCAUCCGCUCGGCAAACAGGUGAGGAGGCUCGCCGUGCGUCAGCCUCUGGGCCUGGGUGGCAGGCAGAUGGAGUCAGGAAAAGGAGAGGUGCAUGUUGAACAGACAGUUGAACAAAUAAAUAUCUAAGUACAAACCGUGCAAAAGUUGCAGAAGAAACUCUUCUGGUGUAUGUGUGUGUGUUUAAAACAAAUUAAGAGAAUGUAUAUUUUCCUAGUAAAUUUAGGCCUAUGGACAUAUUAGAAUUUUCUGGAACAAUCCACAAGAAAUUGGCUACAGGUCUUUCUUCUUGUGAUAGGAACCAGAAAAGUAGAUAGGGGGAUGUCAUCUACUUUUUAUUCUAUAACUUUCUUAAAUUUGAGGUUUGUAACUAUAAGCAAGUAUUUCUAUUAUUUAUUUGCUUGUUGAAAUAUCACGGCUGAGAGUCCAUUUUUAUUUUCUUCAUUAGACUUUUCUCUGUUAAAAAACCCAACCUGUUGUCUAAAGUGAAUAAAUCAUUAACAGCUUGAAAUAUUAAAUUUGUCAUGCCAAAGCAAUUCAAUAUUAAAUAUAAUAUUGUUACACUUGAAUAGACAAAGGUCAUUGACAAGAGUGCAAGAAUUCAUCAAUCCACACCAAAUUCUUACCAGCCUGCUCGUGCCCACCAAGUUUGCCCAGACAAUAACACUUUCAUUCAGCAGACAUUUAUUGAGUGCCUACUGUGGACCAGGCAUUGUUCUGGGCACUGGUAGAUAAAACACAGGCCCUCAGGGAGUCACAGCCUAGAUUCUGUUGGAGGAGACAGACAAUAAAUAAGUAAACCAAAUAUAUAAUACAUAUUAUAUAUAACUAUAUAAUAAGAUAUGUGCUAUGAAGAAACAUUAAAGCAGGGCUGGACAGGGAGUGACCAGGGCAGGGGGACGGCGUUCCUUGUUUGUUAUAUGGAAUAUAUUUUGCAGUGGCAUUCACUAUAAAGAAUGGUCAGGAGGCCUGUCGGAGGAGAUGCCCUUCCGCAGCAACCUGGAUGGAGCGAAGGAAGGAAUGAGUCAUGCAGAUAUAUGAGGGGAGAAUGUUUCCAGCCAGAAGGCCCAGGAUAGGUCCCGGAAUGGGAGAGCUGGAAACCAGUACCGCUUAGCAGCGAGCACACGCCUGUUAUAUUAUUCUGCCCCCCUUGUCAUAGUGUUCAAAACAUUUCAUAAUUUAAAACUUAUUUUUUAAGAAAUAAAAGUUAAAUACUGGUAGCUUUAUGAUCUUUGUGUAUAUAGGACUCAGAUUGUGUGGUGCUGGACGCUGCUUCUCUUUUUUUUAGAUAUGUAACAAAAAUAGUCAAUGUGAACUAUAGAAACAGAUAGUAGAGAAACUAGUGUCUGGAGAGACAGAUAUAUCUUUAUAUACCAAAACAUUUUUUCAACUUCUUACAGCCAUGUUGACUCACAGUUUUUAAAAUAUAUUUUUUCUCUAUUAUCCUAACAGUAUGUCAUGAAAUAUAUGUGUACCUUAUUAUUGCAGUACAUGCCCAUUUUUGUCCACUGGAAAUUAAAUUAGUAAAUAUUACUUCAAGGUCAUAAGGAAAAGGACUGUGACAGGUUAUGGUCAGCCUAGUCUACGAUGUGUGCCAGUGGGAGGGUCACUAUGAUAGGUAAGUGAAACCAUGCGCCACUAGAAAAAAAUAAAUAAAAAUAAUCAUAACAAGCCUGAACUCCCCAUCAAAUUGUGCACCUUGGAAUGCCGUUCCCACCGUGGUCCUCACGUGUAGAGUGAAGAGCCAGCUAGUAAAUUAUCUCUAAGUCCUCUGAUUCAUUCUUUUUCUGUUUCUCUCUCAUAUUUUUCGUUCUAACUCUACGAAUUCUAAUGAAAAUAACUGCUUUGUAGCCAGUCAUUUUCCCCAUAACCAGCUGAACACUAAAUUAAUUGUCUCUUCUUUCUUCAAACAGGAUGCUUUGAGCAGGUUGAUCUAGAACAGUGGUUCUCAACCAGAGGCAAUCCCAACCCACCCACCCCACUUCCAGGGGACAUUCGGCAGCAUGGGGAGACAUACUUGCUUGUCGUGACUGUGGAGGGAGUGCUGCUGGCCUCUAGUGGGUGGGGGCCCAGGAUGCGGGUGAACACCCUACAGUGCGCAGGACAGCCCCCCACAAAGGCGAAGGAUCCAGUCCAAAAUGUCAGGAGUGCCGACGAUGAGAACCGUGGGUCUAGAGAAAUCGGAAAAGAUGAAGAAGGGAGAAAAUGAUGGAGGGCAUUGUCUGCUUAAGAUGUCCAUGUGGGAUUUCCCACCUAAGAAGUAACACAGCAACUUUUGUCUUGGUUGGUGCUCUCCUCUUCUAUUGAUUACUCUAUGAUUCCUGAAGACUUGGGCGUGUGACUUAAAUAACCCCGUUAGAGCCGAGCAUAACGGGAUCAAUGAAAACGGGAGGGCAAAUUCAAACAUGUGCCAUAACUAUGAGAGGAUUCUUUCUGUUGUAAGACUUGAAAAAGUCCUCAGAUCCUUGGUUUAAUUUAAUCAACAAUACGUUCAUCUGCAUACGGCAUUCAGCAGCAAAGUAAACUUUUUUUCCCCCCGAGUCUUUUGUUUCCAAAUCAAUGGGAAACAAAGGACAUCCAGCUCCAUUCAAGCAGUUUCAAUGAUUCUCAAAUAAACGUGGGAGCAAUAGUUGAGCCAUUUAAAAUAUACAGUGAUGAAAAAGCAUACUUAUUAACCUUGUAAACAUUCUAUAAAAGUACAAGGGAACCUUUAUAAAGAAUAUCCAAGUGUCCUUUUUAUAUAAUAGCCCUUUGUACUUUGAAAUGUUCGUGUGUCUAUAAAAUACAAUUGAACAGAACAGACAAGAAGAAUGAAAUUUCCAAGUCUCCUGGUAAUGGUGCUGUUAAAACAUUAUUUUUCAGUUUCUUAACACUAAGAGGAUUAAGUUUCCUCACCUCAAGAUCAGUUUCACUUACAAAAAGCACUUUGGACCCAUAUUUAACCGACCCUCAGAAGGGAUUCAAAAGAAGCCUAAUUGAACACUGAGUUUUCAAAGUUCUCAAAUGAUGACCCAGGAUUUUCCCUGAAAACACCAACAGUGGCAGCUCGGCAGGAAGCAGGAAUUAGACAAGAGAAUUGAUUGAAACCUGCCCUCCGAACUGGAAGAAAAGCUUCCAGUAAGAAACUGGGACAUUUGAAAUCACUGCAUGUUAUAUUAUUUAUCAUUCAAACAGCCUCCAGCCUUAUCAUGUGGCAUUUUCUCUGGCUUCUGAGCUAAUUCAGUAACUCACCAAGUAAUUCACCAAGAAAUGUCGUUUAGUAAGAACAACCCACCCUUUCAGAGGAAAGGGAAACCUCUUUAUCUCCUUUCUGUCUCUCCCGUCUAUCUCCAUUCUCUCUCUCUGUUCUAUCUGCACAUUUUGCAAUCCCCUCCAGGGUUCCAAGGCCAAUGAAAUCAGUCUCCAGGAAUGGUACUCAGCCAAAUAUAUUCACUGCUUAACCGUAUUUGUCUCUUUCUUAGCCCUUUCACCCACUGAUUUCAAAUUUCUCUUUAAUAGGCCAGCUAUGGCAGACCUCAACUGAAUCGAGUUAUGAAAAGACAAGCUGGAAAACCACACAGGGGAGACUUGAGGAAGAGGGGAGCAGUCUGAUGCUUUCAUCUAAAUCUUCAGGCCUCACUGCCGCCUACAAAGACAAGUGGAAGGAAGCUAACAGCGAUAAUCGAAUAGCUCAGCGGGCCUGAGUUGGUUUUUUAAGAAAGCGUGUGUGUGUUUCGGGGGAUGGGGAGGAGGGAGAUACAGGCAUUCUGCCCAGGAGAACCUAGAGAGACAGAAACCUCUCUCCUAAAAUCCCGAAGUUCGUUGCCAGUGAUUCAGUACAUACCUAACCAAAAAAAAAAAGUCGCCUAACUGGUUUGGCUGUUGCAGCUGGCUACUACCAAGAGAAGUAAACUGAACUUUAUCGUUUCAGUUACAUCUGCCUUGGACAUUAUUUUCAAAUAAAUAUUUGUGAUUUCAAUGCUGUUUGAUUGCUGCCACUGCUGUCUUGGAAUUGGGUUGACUGACACACUGCCUUGGAUGAAGCCGGCUCCAUAGCAACAAGCCAGGAGAGGCUGCACCGUCACAGAGCUACGCUUUCUGUGGCCCCUGGGAGGGGGUGGGGGCGUAUUUGGCGCCUCUGGCCAGCAGGACUUUGCAGUUCUCUUGUCAGAUUGUAGCUGAAUUGAGAAACGUUCUUCUUUUGCCCCCUGGCUCCUCCAGUCGGUGGGGAUCUCUGCUGAUCGCUUUGCACAUCUCAAUGAAUUCGACACAGGCAUUUUCCUCUCUCUCUUCAUUCAGGAAGUGGCGAGUGGAGCCUGAGAUUCUUUCUGCUCCGAUGAUAUAAACAAAUUGCAGAGGAAGUCAAGUCAAACUUUCCCUGCUUCUUUUGUUCUCCCAACUAGCAAUUCAGAAAGCAGAGCCAAUUUCUUUUUUUUUUUGGAUGGCUUUUAAAGAUUGCUCUUAACUGGAAAGGCAGAAACUCUCAUGGUUUUUUUUAAAGACAAAGAUACUCCUAAACUUAUUUUUUCAAAAAAUCAGAAACGCCCUAGAAGUUUUUUUUUUUUUUUAAGGCUGUUUUUUGAGACUUUUCAAACCAGCUGGUUCCCUUGACAUCACAGUUACCUAAUUGCUGUUCUUUCCUUUGGAUUUCAACCAGGAGAGCAGCGAUGGGCUUUGUGUGGACAGUGGCUAAACCUGAAUCAAUCGAGGCUUCUGGUGCCCUAAUUCAUGGCCAAGGAAAGCUAACAGUCAUGUUUCACUAAAGGUGCCUGUACAAGGCAGGCACCAGACAGAAAGGAGACAUCUAACUGUUUAAUCUGCAAGUACGGCUUGAAAAAUCACACAUAAUUAAUCCCCUCUCAUAGUGGAAGCUAUUUGAAGCUUUAUCACCGGCUUGUAAGAUCUCAUCUCUGAGCUUCACUGAUGGCCCUGAGAGGGAAUACUUUCAAACUACAGGCACCUGAUCACCCAGGUGACAUGCUUACUAUGCCUAUUCUAAUCAUCUGAUAAAAGAAGCUCUGUGCUAAAUAACCGAAGGAAAACAGAAUGGAGAUACAUCACAAAUAUUUGCAGGGUGUCCCGAAGGUGGCUUCCCAGGUUGGAUGUUCUGUUAGGUUAAUCUUGGUGCAAGAAAUAAAGAUGCGACAGCCACGUGAAUAUCAGUGUACCUAACUGGUUGUCCUCAAUGGCCCUCGCUGUAAUGGGUGGGCAGUCAACUUUCAACACAGCCCUAUUUUCUAGGGAAGCAUGUUAGAGGUCAAAUGCAAGCUCUAAUUACUUACUGAGCCUCAGUGUUCCCUUCCGGAAAAUGGAGAUAUGUUUUAGCAUGCUAGUACUGUUAUAUGGGUUAGAAACAAUAGAGAAACAGAGAUAUGUUACCCCACUCAUUUACCCCACGGUGUGACACCUGUUAGCUUCUCAAUUAAGGUAGUUAUGGUUAUUACAAUUCAUAACAUUAUGUGAGUUCUCCUGGGUCAGGAAAAGCUAGCAUUAGUAGAAUCUGAACUUUAUAGUAUUUGCAAAGUUACUUCUACGUCAGAACAUGUUUGCUCAAUCAUGAGCGUCUCCUCCCUCUUUAUCUAUAAAUACAUAUAUACUGUAGAUAUUUAUAGACUAACAGGUUUAUAAAAUCAUUUAUGCAAGUUGCAAUUGACUGUGUAAUUAUUGCAUAAACAGUGGAUGAAAGGAAAAUGUGAGGCUCUGAAGGUUGACUUUAAUUCAUGUUUUAUCUACUAUGCAUUAAACUGUUUAUUUACUUGUCUACAUUCUCCUCUCUGUUGAUUAUUUUCCAGGCAUGCAUUUCCCGUGAGCAACAUCAGAUGAGAAAGGGAUUUCAUUUGCAUUGCAGAGGAGACAGAGAGAAAAUAGAAAACUCAGAGGCAGCGACUUGCUUGGAGGCCUCCAAGUGCAUCUUGCUCUUUGGCACAUCCAACAUUGCCAUGAGAAGCGUAUGCCUGCUCAUCCAAGGAGGAUGAAGGAUAUCUGGAGCAGACCUGGAUGCAACCCACAACUUGAAGCCCAGCCCAGCACAGCGUAGACCAUCUCAACACCAGCCAACCUGCGGAUGCUUUUGUGAGAUUAAAUAUUUAGUUUUAAGGCACCGAGUUUGGGGGUGAUUUUGUUACAUGGCAUUAUUAUUAUAGCAAUAGCUGACGGAUGUAGGCCCCAUAAUAUUUGUAGGUCUUAAUUUGGCCAUGAGUAUACCAAUACAGAAACUAAAUUAGGGAGAAAAAAAAAAACAAAAAAAAGCAAAUUUAAUUUAAAAAAAUGCUUCAAGCACUUGCCUUACUGAUUUGACUUUGUUAUGUAAAUCAAGGCCAAUUAUAGCCUUUCAUGUACUAAAUGAAACUCGAGGCCCAUAAUGUUUAAAUGAAGCAACAUAUGGUUAAAGAAUAAGAGAAGUAUGAAGCAUUCAUUUAUUUAUUCAGCACUAGAUAAAGCCUUCAUUCCACAAAUGCUUCAUUCCAAAAAAUCUGUUCACUCCUUAAAGAGAUACUCAUGAGCUAUUUAGGGCUAGACCUUGAAGACACAGUACUGAGUAGUAAUUCCUAACCCUUAUCAAGUGCUUACCAUAGGCCAGGCACUGUUGUUAGCGCUUUAUCUACAUCAACUUAUUUAACCUCAAAACUUAACAUUCUAGUUCCUAUGAUUAUCCCCAUUUUACAGAUGAGAAAAUUGAAGACUCAAGGGGAUAAGUGACUUCCCCAAGCUUCCACAACUUGUAAGUGACCAAGCUGGGAUUCAAACCCAGCCUGUCUGGUUUCAGAGUCAAUGCUCUUAGGUACUGUGGUAACACACGCCAGUUGUUCCACAUCCCUGCUAGCAUUUGAUAAUACCCAUUUUUUAAAAUUUUAGCCAUUCUAAUAGGUUUAUAUCUCACUGUGGUGACUAAAGAUGUUGGCCAUCUUCUCGUUUGCUUAUUUAUCAUCAGUCUAUAUUCUUUAUUUGUGUCUGUUCCAAUCUUUUGCCCAUUUAAGUCUCUGCUGGCUUUUUCUUACAGUUGCUACUUACAGCUGAAAGCGUCCCCAACAGAUUUAAUGAAACUGAAGCAGAGAACUAUUAGAUGACUGAGGUCACAAAGCCGAUGAAUGGAGCCAUCAGAAAUUAAAACCAGGUGUUACUGACCCCAAAAUCUAUGCUCUUAAUCAUGAUGUUAUAUUGUCAUUAUGGUUUCUACAAGUAAGCAAAAAAAAUGACAGCAAAUGUAUUUAUCUAGUUUCCCUGAUUUGAUCCAAAUGGAGUAACAAGGCUAUUUAAUAUUGCCUCAAACUAUAGGACACUAAAUCUACAUUCAAAUUUAACAAAUACUUAGUUGGAAAUUGCUGGGCGGUCAUGGGAAGUACUAAGGAUCUGUGACUAUUGAUAAUGUUGUUGGAAAUAUGCUAAGCAUGGAUAUCUUUCAGAAGAGUUAAUAAAGAAAGAUCCCAUUCCUUGAGAGUCGCUUCAACAAAAUAUUUAUGGAGCAUCUACAGUGUGCCUUAUAAUCUACUUCCAUUAUCUCACUUAGUCUCUCCAUCACCCAGCGAGUCGAGCCAGGCACUCCAUUUGAGAGAUGAGGAAACUGCAGCUCAGAGAGGUUAAGUAGCUUGUGCAGGGUGACUCAGCUUAUGGUAGAGUCAGGAUUGAAUUCAGCUCUACCUUAGUCCAGAGCCUGCACCAUUGACUGUUAGGGGGAGGAAGUGGUAAAAUGUGCUGCAUCUGUGGUAGGAAUAUGUGAUGGUAGAAGAAGUGACAUUGGAUAUGACAACAACUAUGACAGUUUAUAUAUGAAUGAAUAAAUUUUGGGAAGUUGGUGAUGGAUAUGGGGUGAAAUGAACAUGGGUCCAUUCCUGCUCCAGCCCCAUCCAGCUGUGACGUUAGGCUAGUCUCACAAUCUCUCUGAGCCUCAGUUUCUUCCUCUGUAAAAUGGAGCCAAUACUAAUACCAAACUCAAGAGUUGUUCUGAGGACUCAGUGGGGCAAAGCUACUGGGCUCGAGGCAGGCUGUCCAGCCAGACGUUGGAAAAUACGAACAGUUAUUAUUUUAAUUAUUGUUCCACACUCCCUCCCUAUAUGCAAAGGAGACUGUUUUCUUUGUUUUGAUCUGGGUAUUUCUCCUGAACAAUUAUGUACACUCUCAGUAGCGGAAGAAGAAAUAUGUGAUAAUCCAGAAAGCAAAUCAUCUCUGCAAAAGCAGGGUCCUGAAUUUUGCUGAAAGCGGUCUGUCAGUUUUCUGUGCCCCUAGCAGAGUACACAAUAAAGAGAACACCUGGGAGGAAGAACAGAGGUUUUUGUUGUCCUGGCCUGGAACUUCCUUUUGCGACCCUUAUCCUGUCCCCUGCCACUUCUUUCCUUUCUUGUCCUCCUUGAUCUGGUUCUCUCUUCUCAAUCUUGUCCUGUAGUUACACCAGCACUUGUUUUUGUGUUAAAAUAGAUCCCUCACCUCUCCCCUCAAAAGCAGUUUCCUGGUUUAGAGGAGAAAGGUCAAGUAUAAGUGAGGAUUUCCCAUUUUCCGAGAAAGACCUUGUGGUGGGUAAUAUUCUAAAAUGGCCUCCAGUGAUCCCUACCUCCUGAAUUCAUGUCCCCUUGAGUGUGGGCUGGCCUAGUGACUUUCUAACAAAGAGAAUACAGCAAAGGUGUUAGAAUAUCACUUCUGUGAUUAGGUUCCAACGGAUUGUGAUUUCCAUCUUGCUGGCAGCCUCUCUCUAUUGCCUUCUCAGCUUACACACUUUCAGAAGCCACUUACCGUGUUGGAAAGCCCCAUGUGGCAAGGAACCAAGUGUGGCC